rnacentral:rRNA from 1 species
AUUGAACGCUGGCGGCAGGCCUAACACAUGCAAGUCGAACGCGUGGCGGACGGGUGAGUAAUGUCUGGGAAACUGCCUGAUGGAGGGGGAUAACUACUGGAAACGGUAGCUACUACCGCAUACCAUCAGAUGUGCCCAGAUGGGAUUAGCUAGCUGGUGGUGUAACGGCUCACCAAGGCGACGAUCCCUAGCUGGUCUGAGAGGAUGAACAGCCACACUGGAACUGUGACACGGUCCAGACUCCUACGAGAGGCAGCAGUGGGGAAUAUUGCACAAUGGGCGCAAGCCUGAUGCAGCCAUGCGGCGUGUAUGAAGAAGGCCUUCGGGUUGUAGAGUACUGUCAGCGGGGAGGCGUUACCCGCAGAAGAAGCACCGGCUAACUCCGUGCCAGCAGCCGCAGUAAUUC